rnacentral:piRNA from 1 species
UGACAUUGUCCUCUGCAAAGUUCAUGCUUG